AGAGUUUGAUCAUGGCUCAGGAUGAACGCUAGCGGCAGGCUUAAUACAUGCAAGUCGAGGGGCAGCAUGAACUAGCAAUAGUUUGAUGGCGACCGGCAAACGGGUGCGGAACACGUACACAACCUUCCUUUAAGUGGGGAAUAGCCCAGAGAAAUUUGGAUUAAUACCCCGUAACACAACGAAGUGGCAUCACUUUGUUGUUAUAGUUUCGGCGCUUAAUGAUGGGUGUGCGUAUGAUUAGAUAGUUGGCGAGGUAACGGCUCACCAAGUCUACGAUCAUUAGCUGAUGUGAGAGCAUGAUCAGCCACACGGGCACUGAGACACGGGCCCGACUCCUACGGGAGGCAGCAGUAAGGAAUAUUGGUCAAUGGACGCAAGUCUGAACCAGCCAUGCCGCGUGAAGGAUUAAGGUCCUCUGGAUUGUAAACUUCUUUUAUAUGGGACGAAAAAAGGUCUUUCUAGACCCCUUGACGGUACCAUAUGAAUAAGCACCGGCUAACUCCGUGCCAGCAGCCGCGGUAAUACGGAGGGUGCAAGCGUUAUCCGGAUUCACUGGGUUUAAAGGGUGCGUAGGCGGGUAGGUAAGUCAGUGGUGAAAUCCUGGAGCUCAACUCCAGAACUGCCAUUGAUACUAUCUAUCUUGAAUAUUGUGGAGGUAAGCGGAAUAUGUCAUGUAGCGGUGAAAUGCUUAGAUAUGACAUAGAACACCCAUUGCGAAGGCAGCUUACUACGCAUAUAUUGACGCUGAGGCACGAAAGCGUGGGGAUCAAACAGGAUUAGAUACCCUGGUAGUCCACGCCCUAAACUAUGGAUACUCGACAUAUGCGAUACACUGUAUGUGUCUGAGCGAAAGCAUUAAGUAUCCCACCUGGGAAGUACGUUCGCAAGAAUGAAACUCAAAGGAAUUGGCGGGGGUCCGCAC
rnacentral:rRNA from 1 species